rnacentral:rRNA from 1 species
GACGAACGCUGGCGGCGUGCUUAACACAUGCAAGUCGAACGGAAAGGCCCUGCUUGCCGGGUACUCGAGUGGCGAACGGGUGAGUAACACGUGGGUGAUCUGCCCUGCACUUCGGGAUAAGCCUGGGAAACUGGGUCUAAUACCGGAUAGGAGCCAUUUUUAGUGUGAUGGUUGGAAAGUUUUUUCGGUGUAGGAUGAGCUCGCGGCCUAUCAGCUUGUUGGUGGGGUAAUGGCCUACCAAGGCGGCGACGGGUAGCCGGCCUGAGAGGGUGGACGGCCACAUUGGGACUGAGAUACGGCCCAGACUCCUACGGGAGGCAGAAGUGGGGAAUAUUGCACAAUGGGCGCAAGCCUGAUGCAGCGACGCCGCGGGGGGGAUGACGGCCUUCGGGUUGUAAACUCCUUUCGCUAGGGACGAAGCUUUUUGUGACGGUACCUAGACAAGAAGCACCGGCUAACUACGUG